CGCAAGUCGAACGAUUAAAGCUCUCUUCGGAGAGUGCAUAGAGUGGCGCACGGGUGAGUAACACGUAAGUAAUCUACCUUCGAGUGGGGAAUAACGUCCGGAAACGGACGCUAAUACCGCAUAAUGCAGCGGCAUCGUAAGAUGACAGUUGUUAAAGAUUUAUCGCUUGAAGAGGAGCUUGCGGCAGAUUAGCUAGUUGGUAAGGUAAUGGCUUACCAAGGCUACGAUCUGUAACCGGUCUUAGAGGACGGUCGGUCACACUGACACUGAAUAACGGGUCAGACUCCUACGGGAGGCAGCAGUCGGGAAUUUUGGGCAAUGGGCGAAAGCCUGACCCAGCAACGCCGCGUGAAGGAUGAAGUAUUUCGGUAUGUAAACUUCGAAAGAAUAGGAAGAAUAAAUGACGGUACUAUUUAUAAGGUCCGGCUAACUACGUGCCAGCAGCCGCGGUAAUACGUAGGGACCAAGCGUUGUUCGGAUUUACUGGGCGUAAAGGGCGCGUAGGCGGCUUUGUAAGUCACUUGUGAAAUCUCUGAGCUUAACUCAGAACGGCCAAGUGAUACUGCAAUGCUAGAGUGCAGAAGGGGCAAUCGGAAUUCUUGGUGUAGCGGUGAAAUGCGUAGAUAUCAAGAGGAACACCUGAGGUGAAGACGGGUUGCUGGGCUGACACUGACGCUGAUGCGCGAAAGCCAGGGGAGCAAACGGGAUUAGAUACCCCGGUAGUCCUGGCCCUAAACGAUGAAUACUUGGUGUCUGGAGUUAUUAGUGCUCCGGGUGCCGUCGCUAACGUUUUUAGUAUUCCGCCUGGGGAGUACGCUCGCAAGAGUGAAACUCAAAGGAAUUGACGGGGACCCGCACAAGCGGUGGAGCAUGUGGUUUAUUUCGACGCAACGCGAAAAACCUUACCCUACCCUUUGACAUGUCUGGGAAUUUUCGCAGAGA
rnacentral:rRNA from 1 species